rnacentral:rRNA from 1 species
CAAAUGAAUUGACGGGGGCCCGCACAAGCGGUGGAGCAUGUGGUUUAAUUCGAUGCAACGCGAAGAACCUUACCUGGUCUUGACAUCCACAGAACUUUUCAGAGAUGAUUUGGUGCCUUCGGGAACUGUGAGACAGGUGCUGCAUGGCUGUCGUCAGCUCGUGUUGUGAAAUGUUGGGUUAAGUCCCGCAACGAGCGCAACCCUUAUCCUUUGUUGCCAGCGGUCAGGCCGGGAACUCAAAGGAGACUGCCAGUGAUAAACUGGAGGAAGGUGGGGAUGACGUCAAGUCAUCAUGGCCCUUACGACUAGGGCUACACACGUGCUACAAUGGCGCAUACAAAGAGAAGCGACCUCGCGAGAGCAAGCGGACCUCAUAAAGUGCGUCGUAGUCCGGAUUGGAGUCUGCAACUCGACUCCAUGAAGUCGGAAUCGCUAGUAAUCGUGGAUCAGAAUGCCACGGUGAAUACGUUCCCGGGCCUUGUACACACCGCCCGUCACACCAUGGGAGUGGGUUGCAAAAGAAGUAGGUAGCUUAACCUUCGGGAGGGCGCUUACCACUUUGUGAUUCAUGACUGGGGUGAAGUACA